GUUACAAUUAGAUCAAAUUGAUAAGAAUGCUGUUCAGGUCUUCUAUAUCUUUACUGAUAAUCUGCCUCCUUGAUCUACCAAUUAUUGAGAGAUGGGUGUUAAAGUCUACAAAUAUAAACGUUGAAUUCUCUAUUUGUCCUAUUCUUCCUUUGACUACACAAGCAACAGCUGUCUAGCUGCCUGAACAGGACUGGAUCUAAUGCCUCUACAGAAAUCUAGGUCAAAACACUUGGAAUGCAUGAAUAUCAAACAGAGUUUUCAAAACAGCAAAUGAAUACAUCUUUAACUGGUGACAUUUUCCUGUAGCAUAUGGCUGCAAGCUCAGGGGACUAGAUGCUUUUUUGAUGAAUAUGUUCCAUCAAAAACUAAGAGAUGGCAGUAGGCUUUUUCCACCUUCUGUUUUGCCUUAUGAAAUGAUAAUGCAAACUCAUAGAUAGACACAAUGAUCACAAGUCUUUUGCCUUCAAACCUAUUCUAAAGAUGCAUUUUCCCUUUUGGAUGAGUUGCUUUAUAUUUAUAUGGGUUUAGGUUUUGUACAUAGUCAUUAAAGGUGACAGCCAGUGGGGUGGUUUCUUUUCCUGGGUAAAAUGUGAUUGGUGGAAAGCUUCAAAAAAUUGAACCGAAAAGCAAAUACUCACCAAAGAGGGAGACUGGGGAGUUUGGUCACAUAAGUAACUUAUACUCCCAGUGGCAAAACAUUGAAUCCCAAUCCAUUGUCAGUGUCAAUAUUGAGGUGCUAGACAAUCAUUUACCAAUGAGUAAAAGAGAAAAGCCUUGGGAAAUUGGAGGCUAGCUCCUUAGUUCUGGAUCUGCCAACAAUAAGCCAAAGGUGACCCUAGGCAUGCCUUAUCAUCUCUAUGGCCUCACUGUCCCUCUCAUAUGUCAGAUAACAGGACAGGGCUAUAUUAUUUCGAAGGUCUCUCCUAGAUGUAAACUUCCAGCUAUGUGUAAGUGUAUUAAGCUGUUUUGUUGUUAUUAUAUCAUGUUGUUUGGAAUGAAUGUCACAGCAGAGAAGAGUAGGCCUUGAUUUCUUUUUUGAUUGGCUGUAAAAUUCAUUUUUUAUCAAAGAAAAAUUCUCCAGAAUUCUACCUUUUCCCCACCAAUAAAAUAAGGCAACAAUGGAGCUGUUGGUUAAGCAGGGGAAGGAAUUAGGAUGCCCCCUUGGCUUGGUUUGUCUCCUACUUCUCAGGGCAGCAUCUGAAAACUAAGUGUGGAAAAUCUGGGUCUCCACCAAGCCCAGUGUGAAAACCACUGGCUUCGAGGAUGUGCGUAUUAGUAAUGGUGUUGGCUGUGGAGAGAGAGGUGUCAGAAACGCAUUUUUUUCUUUGUGCAUUUAGCUAAAGUGUAUUAACCAAACUUAGUUCAUUUCAGUGACAGCUUAAACUUUAAGCCUGAUAUUCGCUCUUGGUUUGGCUUUUGUUUAAAAAAUAACCAGCAGAACCUGUGAUUGUAACAGGAAUCUAUAAAUGGAUUGUUUGAUUCACAAGGUGAACUUGGAUAUAUGUUGCCUUCAUUUGGUAAUGCCUUACAAGAGUCUUGAAAAACUCAUUUUAGAGGUGAAUUCUCGUUCCCACCACAGAUAUUCUGUUACCCAGUUUUAUGCCUCAAAAGCUACCACUGUUACUAGGUACUUGAGUAAGUGUUCAAAGUAAUUUAUAAUUAUAUACUUAUACGCAUAUGUAUGUGUGUGUGUGUGUGUGUGUGUGUGUGUGCGCGCGCAUGUUUUACUUUUUAGUGAAGUGGUAGGGUGUGGUAUAUACAUAAUAGCCCUUUUUUUUUUAACCUAGUAAUACGUCUCAGAUAUCAUAUCUUAGCAGACCUGUAUAGCCUGGUUCUUUCUUUUAAAAGACUUCAUAAUCCCUUAUUGUGGACAUAUAAUAAAUUUUAAAAUAAUCCGUCUUAAAAUACUUUUACUUGAACUUACUUGUUUUUUUCCCCAUUUACUGUCAAGAUAGUGAUGAAUAUCCAAGCAUGUAUGUAUUUAUGAAUAGAUAUGAGAACAUCUAAAGGCAAAUCUCCUAGAAAUAAAAUUGCUGGGUCAAAGGAUAUGUAUACAUUUAAUUUAGGUAGAUAGUGCCAAAUAAUGUUUAACUAUAGUUAUUAUUUGCAGUUUAAAAACUUGACUGUAGUUGAACAUAUUUUCAUAUGUUUAAAAAUUACUUAUAUGUAAAAUCUCUGUUCAUCUUGUAUGUCCAUAAAUGGAGUUAAGACAACUUAGUAGCCAUCUGGAAAAAAAUAAAAUAGUAUUUCUACUUUAUUUGCAGAACAAAAAUAAACUCCAGAUGGACCAAAGAUUUUAUGCUAAAAAUAAGUACAUUAAAGUACUAUUAGAAAACAUGACAGGAUGUUUUCUUGUAAGUAAUCCGGAACUAAGGAAGAUCUUUCUAAGCAUAAUACAAAACCUGCAAGCAAUGACUCUGAAGGUGUGUAAGUCAAUAAAUCAAUAGAUAUUGAAAAAAUUUUAAAAAGGAAUGACCAACUUUGGGUAAUGACAAUGACACAUUGGACCCAGAGUUGUUCACAUCGAAUAGUUUGUAGCAGACGCCCAUUUAGGCUCAGUUUGUAGAGACUUGAAAAACUGUUGCUUUCACCUGAACAGUGAAAAUAAUCUGGAUAAGCUACAAAAUCAUAUUUUAUUUAAAACCCAUCAGAGGACCAAGAACACAAAAAAAAGCUAAAUGAAAUUAAUUCUAGAAAACAAAUAUCUCUUCAUAACUACACUAGACCCACAGCCACUCUCCUCCCUCAUGGAGCUGCAGAAGAAAAGGCCAGACCAUAGAUAAGAAUAAGGAGAAGCCAGCCUAACCUAUAAUGGUCUUUUAAUAACUCUGGGUGGCCUGGCAUGACAGAUGAGAAUUCUACAGGGCCUCAGCCACAUAGCAAGUCAGUAUCCAUCCUCCAACUCUUCACGCCCACCCUUCCAGGUCUUCACUGCCUGCUUGACUGCUGAAAGGUAGCUCACUGAAGGCUGGUGACACCUUAGGACAGCCAAGAAUAAUUUCUGCUGAUCAGGAGAAAUGAGAGAAACUGUCCAGCCAUACAGCCCUUCCAAGAAAGUGAGGCAGCCACACACACAGAUAUACAUACAUCUCAAUGAAUAACAUAUUAUAGAGUUUGGCAUGUUUUAAAUUUUAUAAAAAGAGUAUGUCAUUCUGUAGUUCGUCUUCUGAAUUUUUAUUUUUCAUUUAAAUUACACUGACAGCCAUUCAUUAUAUGAAAUGUGGCUGUGUUUCAUUUCAUUCAUUCAUUCUUACUGCAAUUCCUUUUUGUGACUAUACCUUAAUAUUUUUAGCCAUUCCCUUCUCUAUGAACAAGCAUUGUUUCUGGAUGACAAAAAUGCUGCUGUAAACAUUCUUGUACAUUCUUCUGGUACUUAUGUGCUAAACUUUACAUUGUGUAGGUACUCAGGUAUGGACAUUCUGAAUAAAGAAAUAUUUAACUUUACAA